GGGCGGCUGGUGGAAUUGGUAGACACGCGUGCCUUAGGAGCACGUGCCGCAAGGCAUGGGGGUUCAAGUCCCUCGCCGCCCA
rnacentral:tRNA from 1 species